CCAGACUCCUACGGGAGGCAGCAGUAGGGAAUCUUCGGCAAUGGGGGGAACCCUGACCGAGCAACGCCGCGUGAGUGAAGAAGGUUUUCGGAUCGUAAAGCUCUGUUGUUAAGGAAGAACGAGUGUGAGAAUGGAAAGUUCAUACUGUAACGGUACUUAACCAGAAAGGGACGGCUAACUACGUGCCAGCAGCCGCGGUAAUACGUAGGUCCCGAGCGUUGUCCGGAUUUAUUGGGCGUAAAGCGAGCGCAGGCGGUUAGAUAAGUCUGAAGUUAAAGGCAGUGGCUCAACCAUUGUAGGCUUUGGAAACUGUUUAACUUGAGUGCAGAAGGGGAGAGUGGAAUUCCAUGUGUAGCGGUGAAAUGCGUAGAUAUAUGGAGGAACACCGGUGGCGAAAGCGGCUCUCUGGUCUGUAACUGACGCUGAGGCUCGAAAGCGUGGGGAGCGAACAGGAUUAGAUACCCUGGUAGUCCACGCCGUAAACGAUGAGUGCUAGGUGUUAGGUCCUUUCCGGGACUUAGUGCCGCAGCUAACGCAUUAAGCACUCCGCCUGGGGAGUACGACCGCAAGGUUGAAACUCAAAGGAAUUGACGGGGGCCCGCACAAG
rnacentral:rRNA from 1 species